rnacentral:rRNA from 2 species
AACGCUGGCGUUUCGCCUAACACAGGAAAAUCGAGCGCUGUAGCAAUACAGAGUGGCAGACGGGUGAUUAACCCGUGGGAACGUGCCCUUCGGUUCGGGAUAACUCAGGGAAACUUGAGCUAAUACCGGAUACGCCCUUAGGGGGAAAGAUUUAUUGCCGAAGGAUCGGCCCGCGUCCGAUUAGCUAGUUGGUGAGGUAAUGGCUCACCAAGGCGACGAUCGGUAGCUGGUCUGAGAGGAUGAUCAGCCACACUGGGACUGAGACACGGCCCAGACUCCUACGGGAGGCAGCAGUGGGAAAU